UUAUACAACUCAUCAACCCUGUGAACAUACCUAUAACGUUGCCUCGGCGGGAACAGACGGCCCCGUAACACGGGCCGCCCCCGCCAGAGGACCCCCUAACUCUGUUUCUAUAAUGUUUCUUCUGAGUAAACAAGCAAAUAAAUUAAAACUUUCAACAACGGAUCUCUUGGCUCUGGCAUCGAUGAAGAACGCAGCGAAAUGCGAUAAGUAAUGUGAAUUGCAGAAUUCAGUGAAUCAUCGAAUCUUUGAACGCACAUUGCGCCCGCCAGUAUUCUGGCGGGCAUGCCUGUUCGAGCGUCAUUACAACCCUCAGGCCCCCGGGCCUGGCGUUGGGGAUCGGCGGAAGCCCCCUGCGGGCACAACGCCGUCCCCCAAAUACAGUGGCGGUCCCGCCGCAGCUUCCAUUGCGUAGUAGCUAACACCUCGCAACUGGAGAGCGGCGCGGCCACGCCGUAAAACACCCAACUUCUGAAUGUUGACCUCGAAUCAGGUAGGAAUACCCGCUGAACUUAAGCAUAUCAAUAAGCGGAGGAAAAGAAACCAACAGGGAUUGCCCCAGUAACGGCGAGUGAAGCGGCAACAGCUCAAAUUUGAAAUCUGGCUCUCGGGCCCGAGUUGUAAUUUGUAGAGGAUGCUUUUGGUGAGGUGCCUUCCGAGUUCCCUGGAACGGGACGCCAUAGAGGGUGAGAGCCCCGUCUGGUUGGACACCGAUCCUCUGUAAAGCUCCUUCGACGAGUCGAGUAGUUUGGGAAUGCUGCUCUAAAUGGGAGGUAUAUGUCUUCUAAAGCUAAAUACCGGCCAGAGACCGAUAGCGCACAAGUAGAGUGAUCGAAAGAUGAAAAGAACUUUGAAAAGAGAGUUAAAAAGUACGUGAAAUUGUUGAAAGGGAAGCGCUUGUGACCAGACUUGGGCUUGGUUGAUCAUCCGGGGUUCUCCCCGGUGCACUCUUCCGGCUCAGGCCAGCAUCAGUUCGCCCUGGGGGAUAAAGGCUUCGGGAAUGUGGCUCUCUCCGGGGAGUGUUAUAGCCCGCUGCGUAAUACCCUGUGGCGGACUGAGG
rnacentral:rRNA from 1 species